UGGCGGACGGGUGAGUAAUGUCUGGGAAACUGCCUGAUGGAGGGGGGAUAACUACUGGAAACGGUAGCUAAUACCGCAUAACGUCGCAAGACCAAAGAGGGGGACCUUCGGGCCUCUUGCCAUCGGAUGUGCCCAGAUGGGAUUAGCUAGUAGGUGGGGUAACGGCUCACCUAGGCGACGAUCCCUAGCUGGUCUGAGAGGAUGACCAGCCACACUGGAACUGAGACACGGCCAGACUCCUACGGGAGGCAGCAUG
rnacentral:rRNA from 1 species